UGGUUACUUCUUCAGCCUAUAUACUAAAACUGGAAUGCCACAGAGAAGAUUAGCAUGGCACUAUGCAAAACUGACAGACAAAUUUCUAAGUGUCCCAUUUUUUU